GUGGGGAAUAUUGCACAAUGGGGGAAACCCUGAUGCAGCAACGCCGCGUGAGUGAUGACGGUCUUCGGAUUGUAAAGCUCUGUCUUCAGGGACGAUAAUGACGGUACCUGAGGAGGAAGCCACGGCUAACUACGUGCCAGCAGCCGCGGUAAUACGUAGGUGGCAAGCGUUGUCCGGAUUUACUGGGCGUAAAGGGAGCGUAGGUGGAUAUUUAAGUGGGAUGUGAAAUACUCGGGCUUAACCUGGGUGCUGCAUUCCAAACUGGAUAUCUAGAGUGCAGGAGAGGAAAGUAGAAUUCCUAGUGUAGCGGUGAAAUGCGUAGAGAUUAGGAAGAAUACCAGUGGCGAAGGCGACUUUCUGGACUGUAACUGACACUGAGGCUCGAAAGCGUGGGGAGCAAACAGGAUUAGAAACCCCAGUAGUCC
rnacentral:rRNA from 1 species